GAUGAACGCUGGCGGCAUGCCUAAUACAUGCAAGUCGAACGAGAGGAAGGAAAGCUUGCUUUUCUGAAUCUAGUGGCGAACGGGUGAGUAACACGUAGGUAACCUGCCCAUGUGCCCGGGAUAACUUCUGGAAACGGAUGCUAAAACCGGAUAGGUAGCAGACAAGCAUUUGACUGCUAUUAAAGUGGCUAAGGCCAUGAACAUGGAUGGACCUGCGGUGCAUUAGCUAGUUGGUGAGGUAACGGCCCACCAAGGCGACGAUGCAUAGCCGGCCUGAGAGGGCGGACGGCCACAUUGGGACUGAGACACGGCCCAAACUCCUACGGGAGGCAGCAGUAGGGAAUUUUCGUCAAUGGGGGGAACCCUGAACGAGCAAUGCCGCGUGAGUGAAGAAGGUCUUCGGAUCGUAAAGCUCUGUUGUAAGAGAAAAACGACAUUCAUAGGGAAUGAUGAGUGAGUGAUGGUAUCUUACCAGAAAGU
rnacentral:rRNA from 1 species